AGUCGAGCGGAAUGAGGUGCUUGCACCUUAUCUUAGCGGCGGACGGGUGAGUAAUGCUUAGGAAUCUGCCUAUUAGUGGGGGACAACAUUCCGAAAGGGAUGCUAAUACCGCAUACGUCCUACGGGAGAAAGCAGGGGAUCUUCGGACCUUGCGCUAAUAGAUGAGCCUAAGUCGGAUUAGCUAGUUGGUGGGGUAAAGGCCUACCAAGGCGACGAUCUGUAGCGGGUCUGAGAGGAUGAUCCGCCACACUGGGACUGAGACAC
rnacentral:rRNA from 1 species